rnacentral:rRNA from 1 species
AUGUUGUUGAUGCGGCUGGCGGACUGCGAGGAGAACAUGCCGGCGAGCGUCGUCCAGAGCGCACCCGCGAUGGUGACCGUGGUCACCGCGAGCAGCACCUCGCGCGUCAGAUUAUUCAACAGGUGGUUGAAGGCAGCCCCCCUACUGAACCCAAUCGCGCGGUCGCGCCUUGUGCAUCAAACAAGGCCUCUCAAGAUGUUCGUCGUAGAAGACAAGGGUAGCGCCAUUGCUCUCAUGUGCGCCGCCCUCCUCUUCUUGGGCACAUGGCCAGCAUUGCUCACCCUCUUGGAGCGCAGGGGCCGGCUACCGCAGCACACGUACCUCGAUUACUCGAUCACCAACCUCCUCGCCGCGGUCCUCAUUGCACUCACCUUGGGCCAGCUUGGGGACAGCAAGCAAAACAUGCCCAAUUUCUUCACCCAGCUCAAUCAGGAUAACUGGCCUUCGGUGCUGUUUGCAAUGGCAGGGGGCCUUGUGCUCAGUAUUGGGAACCUUUCUACACAAUAUGCUUGGGCAUAUGUGGGUCUCUCAGUUACCGAGGUUAUCUGCGCAAGCAUGGUUGUUGUUAUAGGCACAACACUGAAUUAUUUCCUGGACAACCGCAUCAACAGGGCAGAUAUUCUUUUCACUGGAGUGGCUUGCUUCCUUGUUGCAGUCAUCCUUGGGACUGCUGUACACUCUUCCAAUGCAGCUGAUAAUGAAGAGAAACUAAGUGAAUCCACAAAUGGCUACAACCUUGGGUAA